rnacentral:rRNA from 1 species
CCUACGGGGGGCAGCAGUGAGGAAUAUUGGUCAAUGGGCGAGAGCCUGAACCAGCCAAGUCGCGUGAAGGAUGACGGCCCUACGGGUUGUAAACUUCUUUUGUCAGGGAGCAAUUGAGUCCACGUGUGGGCUUAGCGAGAGUACCUGAAGAAAAAGCAUCGGCUAACUCCGUGCCAGCAGCCGCGGUAAUACGGAGGAUGCGAGCGUUAUCCGGAUUUACUGGGUGUAAAGGGAGCGUAGACGGUUAUGUAAGUCUGGAGUGAAAGCCCGGGGCCCAACCCCGGGACUGCUUUGGAAACUGUGUAACUGGAGUACAGGAGGGGCAGGCGGAAUUCCUGGUGUAGCGGUGAAAUGCGUAGAUAUCAGGAGGAACACCGGCGGCGAAGGCGACCUGCUAGAACAUAACUGACGCUGAUGCGCGAAAGCGUGGGGAGCAAACAGGAUUAGAUACCCUGGUAGUC